rnacentral:rRNA from 1 species
UACGUAGGUGGCAAGCGUUGUCCGGAUUUAUUGGGCGUAAAGCGCGCGCAGGUGGUUUCUUAAGUCUGAUGUGAAAGCCCCCGGCUCAACCGGGGAGGGUCAUUGGAAACUGGGAGACUUGAGUGCAGAAGAGGUAAGUGGAAUUUCUAGUGGAGCGGUGAAAUGCGUAGAUAUUAGAAGGAACACCAGUGGCGAAGGCGGCUUACUGGGCCUGCACUGACGCUCAUGCACGAAAGCGUGGGGAGCAAACAGG